rnacentral:rRNA from 1 species
GAUGAACGCUGGCGGCGUGCCUAAUACAUGCAAGUCGAGCGAACGGACGAGAAGCUUGCUUCUCUGAUGUUAGCGGCGGACGGGUGAGUAACACGUGGAUAGCCUACCUAUAAGACUGGGAUAACUUCGGGAAACCGGAGCUAAUACCGGAUAAUAUUUUGAACCGCAUGGUUCAAAAGUGAAAGACGGUCUUGCUGUCACUUAUAGAUGGAUCCGCGCUGCAUUAGCUAGUUGGUAAGGUAACGGCUUACCAAGGCAACGAUGCAUAGCCGACCUGAGAGGGUGAUCGGCCACACUGGAACUGAGACACGGUCCAGACUCCUACGGGAGGCAGCAGUAGGGAAUCUUCCGCAAUGGGCGAAAGCCUGACGGAGCAACGCCGCGUGAGUGAUGAAGGUCUUCGGACCGUAAAACUCUGUUAUUAGGGAAGAACAUAUGUGUAAGUAACUGUGCACAUCUUGACGGUACCUAAUCAGAAAGCCACGGCUAACUACGUG